rnacentral:rRNA from 1 species
GAUGAACGCUGGCGGCGUGCUUAACACAUGCAAGUCGAACGGAAAGGCCAGUGCUUGCACUGGUACUCGAGUGGCGAACGGGUGAGUAACACGUGGGUGAUCUGCCCUGCACUUCGGGAUAAGCCUGGGAAACUGGGUCUAAUACCGGAUAGGACAAUGGUUUGGAUGCCGUUGUGGAAAGUUUUUUCGGUGUGGGAUGAGCUCGCGGCCUAUCAGCUUGUUGGUGGGGUAAUGGCCUACCAAGGCGUCGACGGGUAGCCGGCCUGGGAGGGUGUACGGACACAUUGGGACAGGGCAACGGCCCAGAGUCCUACGGGAGGCGGCAGGGGGGAAUAUGGCACAAUGGGCGACAGCCUGAUGCAGCGACGCCGCGUGGGGGAUGACGGCCUUCGGGUUGUAAACUCCUAUCGCUAGGGACGAAGCGUAUUUGUGACGGUACCUGGAGAAGAAGCACCGGCUAACUACGUG